rnacentral:rRNA from 1 species
UACGUAGGUGGCGAGCGUUGUCCGGAUUUACUGGGCGUAAAGGGCGUGCAGGCGGUUUGGUAAGUGCAGGGUGAAAGCUCCCGGCUCAACUGGGAGAGGUCCUUGCAUACUGGCGAACUCGAGGGAGGCAGAGGAAAGUGGAAUUCCCGGUGUAGUGGUGAUAUGCGUAGAUAUCGGGAGGAACACCUGUGGCGAAGGCGGCUUUCUGGGCCGCGACUGACGCUGAGACACGAAAGCGUGGGUAGCAAACAGG